rfam:Aschersonia aleyrodis RCEF 2490 scaffold_15, whole genome shotgun sequence.
GGGCGAAUGGUUUAGUGGUAUAAUACUCCCUUAGCAUGGGAGUGGUCCAGGGUUCGAUUCCCUGUUCGUCCA